rnacentral:rRNA from 1 species
UACGGAGGAUGCAAGCGUUAUCCGGAAUGAUUGGGCGUAAAGCGUCCGCAGGUGGCAAUGUAAGUCUGCUGUCAAAGCGUCUGGCUCAACCAGAUAAAGGCAGUGGAAACUACAUAGCUAGAGUAAGAUAGGGGUAGAGGGAAUUCCUGGUGUAGCGGUGAAAUGCGUAGAGAUCAGGAAGAACACCGGUGGCGAAAGCGCUCUGCUGGACCUUAACUGACACUGAGGGACGAAAGCUAGGGGAGCGAAUGGG